GAUGAACGCUGGCGGCGUGCCUAAUACAUGCAAGUCGAGCGAACAGACGAGGAGCUUGCUCCUCUGACGUUAGCGGCGGACGGGUGAGUAACACGUGGAUAACCUACCUAUAAGACUGGGAUAACUUCGGGAAACCGGAGCUAAUACCGGAUAAUAUAUUGAACCGCAUGGUUCAAUAGUGAAAGACGGUUUUGCUGUCACUUAUAGAUGGAUCCGCGCCGCAUUAGCUAGUUGGUAAGGUAACGGCUUACCAAGGCAACGAUGCGUAGCCGACCUGAGAGGGUGAUCGGCAAGACUGUAAAUGAGACAAGAUCCAGAAUACGACGGGAGGAAGAAGUAGGGAAGCUUCCGCAAUGGGAGAAAGCAGAAAGGAGCAAAGAAGAGUGAGUGAGGAAGGUAUUCGGAUCGGAAAAAUCUGUUAUUAGGGAAGAACAGAUGUGUAAGUAACUGUGCACAUCUUGACGGUAACUAAUCAGAAAGACACGGCUAACUACGUG
rnacentral:rRNA from 1 species